rnacentral:rRNA from 1 species
CCCUUAGAUGUUCUGGGCCGCACGCGCGCUACACUGAUUCAUGCAACAAGUUUUGUCCUUGGCUGAUAGGCCUGGGUAAUCUUUGAACGUGAAUCGUGAUGGGGAUAGAUGAUUGCAAUUAUUCAUCUUCAACGAGGAAUUCCUAGUAAACGCAAGUCAUCAGCUUGCAUUGAUUACGUCCCUGUCCUUUGUACACACCGCCCGUCGCACCUACCGAUUGAAUGGUCCGGUGAAAUCUUCGGAUCUGAGAGAUGUCUGAUUAAUUUCGGACGCCUUUUGGAAAAGUUGUUUAAACCUUACCAUUUAGAGGAAGGUGAAGUCGUAACA